rnacentral:rRNA from 1 species
CAGCAGCCGCGGUAAUACGUAGGUGGCGAGCGUUGUCCGGAAUUAUUGGGCGUAAUGGGAGCGCAGGCGGACAUAUAAGUCCAUCUUAAAAGUGCGGGGCUCAACCCCGUGAGGGGGAUGGAAACUGUAUGCCUUGAGUGCAGGAGAGGAAAGCGGAAUUCCCAGUGUAGCGGUGAAAUGCGUAGAUAUUGGGAGGAACACCAGUGGCGAAGGCGGCUUUCUGGACUGUAACUGACGCUGAGGCUCGAAAGCCAGGGGAGCGAACGGGAUUAGAGACCCCUGUAGUCCCUGUCUCUUAUAC